GCUAUCACGCUAGUGGUGGUGGAGUCGUUGUUGAAAUACCACUCUGAUCGGAUUGAGCAUCUAACCUUGGCCCAUGAUCUGGGUUGGGGACAGUGCCUGGUGGGUAGUUUAACUGGGGCGGUUGCCUCCCAAAAUGUAACGGAGGCGCCCAAAGGUUCCCUCAGCCUGGUUGGCAAUCAGGUGGUGAGUGUAAGUGCACAAGGGAGCUUGACUGUGAGACAGACAUGUCGAGCAGG
rnacentral:rRNA from 1 species